GAGUUUGAUCCUGGCUCAGGACGAACGCUGGCGGCGCGCCUAACACAUGCAAGUCGAACGAGCGAGAGAGAGCUUGCUUUCUCGGGCGAGUGGCGAACGGGUGAGUAACGCGUGAGGAACCUGCCUCAAAGAGGGGGACAACAGUUGGAAACGACUGCUAAUACCGCAUAAGCCCACAGGUCGGCAUCGACCAGAGGGAAAAGGAGCAAUCCGCUUUGAGAUGGCCUCGCGUCCGAUUAGCUAGUUGGUGAGGUAACGGCCCACCAAGGCGACGAUCGGUAGCCGGACUGAGAGGUUGAACGGCCACAUUGGGACUGAGACACGGCCCAGACUCCUACGGGAGGCAGCAGUGGGGAAUAUUGCACAAUGGGGGAAACCCUGAUGCAGCGACGCCGCGUGGAGGAAGAAGGUCUUCGGAUUGUAAACCUCUGUCCUUGGUGACGAAGGAAGUGACGGUAGCCAAGGAGGAAGCCCCGGCUAACUACGUGCCAGCCGCCGCGGUAAUUC
rnacentral:rRNA from 1 species